rnacentral:rRNA from 1 species
UACGAAGGGGGCUAGCGUUGUUCGGAAUCACUGGGCGUAAAGCGCGCGCAGGCGGAUCGAUAAGUCGGGGGUGAAAGCCCGGGGCUCAACCUCGGAAUUGCCUUCGAUACUGUCGGUCUCGAGUCCGGGAGAGGUGAGUGGAAUUCCUAGUGUAGAGGUGAAAUUCGUAGAUAUUAGGAAGAACACCAGUGGCGAAGGCUGCUCACUGGCCCGGUACUGACGCUCAGGUGCGAAAGCGUUGGGAGCAAACAGG